UACGUAGGGGGCAAGCGUUGUCCGGAAUCAUUGGGCGUAAAGCGCGCGUAGGCGGCCCGGUAAGUCCGUUGUGAAAGUCAAAGGCUCAACCUUUGAACGCCGAUGGAUACUGCCGGGCUAGAGUCCGGAAGAGGCGAGUGGAAUUCCUGGUGUAGCGGUGGAAUGCGCAGGUAUCAGGAGGAACACCAAUAGCGAAGGCAGCUCGCUGGGACGGUACUGACGCUGAGGCGCGAAAGCGUGGGGAGCGAACAGG
rnacentral:rRNA from 1 species